rnacentral:lncRNA from 1 species
UAUAAGAAAAAUAAUGUGUGGGGGUAUUGUUUCAAUUAUAAUGUUGUAAUUUCCACUUCAUAAAAGUAAUGACGCUCGUUGUAUUUUGAUUUUACUAAGUGUGAUAAGUACUACCUAAUUAGUAUUUGUAAUAAAGUGAGACUUACUUUUGUCGUGGUUUGUGUUGUAUUAAUCUUCAUAUGAACCUAUAAAGUACAAAAGCUUAAUCUUGUAAAUACAUAUUCUAGCAAUGUGAAGAGUGGAAUUAGGAUUCAAUGCUAAAGCAAAAUACUUACGUAUCCCAUUGUGUAUACCCUUCUAGUGCGUUUUCACACAGCACGCAACGUAUGAUAAGGGUGCGUUUGGUACGUGGGACGGGACGGGACGGAACGGGACGAGGCGUUCCGUCCCGCGUUUAGUGCGCCAAAAAUGGAUGGAACGGGCUGUUCCACGGGACAGGUUUUGGGUGUUUUUGCGUUCCACCUCCCCCCUGGAACGGGUUUGUUCCACGUCUGUGGAACACAAUGUUUUACCAUUUUAAGACAAAUAUACCCCAUGUCUUUUUCAAAAAUGACACCUUCGUUCCGUCCUGUCCCGUCCCGUCCCGUCCCGUUCCGUCCCGUCCCGUCCCGUCCCGUCCCGUCCCGUCUGCGUACCAAACGCACCCUAAAGGAACAAAAAGGUAUACACCUCGAGACAAGUAAGUCCCAUGUGCUAGUAAAUUAGCUUGGAUGUAUGGCUGGUUUGGUAUUGCUGUGCUUUGAAAAAAAGCUGCUAUAAGAAUAAGCGGCUGUGAAAUAAAUCAGCAGAGCGUUUGGUAAACUUUUUUGUAAAAGUGCUUUUGAAAAAAAAAGCAGUUUGAUAGUUGGUCUUUUCAUUAAAGGAGCACUGUAGUUCCGUGUGCUUUGAAAAAAAGCCAGUUUUCCAAAGCUGCAAAUAGCAGCUUCAGCUUUUUCUUUUGAUUUCAGCUUAUUCUCACAGCAGCUUCCAAAAUAAGCCAUUUUUUUUCAGUUUACCAAACACCUAAAACCCUCACAACUUUUUUUCAUAGGUGCUUUUUUUUAAGCACCUCACUCCCAAACUAGGUCGUAAUGUAGUCACGGGAAGCGUAAGAAACAAAGAAAGGAGUGUACAGCCUGGGACAAAGCACAUAUAUAUUUUACAACUACAUGUAUGUACUCUAUGGGUGAGGCAUGGCCUAAGGGGAAGGAUCUCCAUUUUUUUUCAAAAAAUAGGAAUUAGUUGUGAGACUCACUCCACAUCGAACUUCAACGAUCCGAAUCAUCUAUUUUGUAAAUUUUGAUUCAUAGAUCAUUCUUACAAAAAUUCAAGUCCGAAACUAAUUAUCACGAUAAAAUUUGAAUGUUUUAUUAGAACAAAAUGUUCGUCAAUUUUUUUGAAUUCAAUUAUAUGCCUGUUUGGAUCCAAAUUUACACCAUUGGCCCAUGCAAUCAAGGCCUUUGAGUGAGCAUAGCUCCCAACCAUCGGAUGGAAAAGUGAAGAUAAUUUUGUUAUUGUUGAAGGAUAAUAUUAUGAUUUUUAUCAUAAUAAUUAUCUUUUAAUAUGGAUUAUCUGCAUCUUCUUAAACCAGAUAAAUAGGAUGCGAAUUAUAUCCUAAGCAAGCAGUACAGUUCGAAUUGAUUUGGGAUGUUUGACGACACUUGGAAGCUAAAAAUGAAUUUGAAAUUCAUUUGAUCAGGAUGCAUGCAUGGAUGGGUUUAAAGGUGAUGGAAUUAUAUGAUGUGAUAAGCCUAGGAUUUGAUGGUCUUGGAUAAUGAUGAGAUAAGAAACUUAGGUAGGCUAGGCCUUUUUUUGCAUGGUGAUGGGCGUUGUCAUAUGAGUUUGGAGUGAUAAGAAUUGAUGAUGUGAGCACAGUAUGAUUGUCGUGUGAAAGGGCACUUCGAGAUUUCAAAGGGACACCUGUUGUUCCUCUUGUAAAAGUCCACAAGCAUAAGAAGACUAGGGAGAUUUUUGCCGAAAUAUAUUAAAGAUAAUAUCAGUUAUUGUUUUUUAGAGUAUAUUCGGAAAGAGAGAUUAUAUUCACACACCUCAAAUUACUUCUCCCACACCUUUUUAUUUUUUUAAUAUUUUCUACACACCACUAACACUUGAUAAAAAAAUAUUAAAAAAUUAAAAGGGUGUGGGAGAAGUAAUUUGAGGUGUGUGAAUAUAAUCUCCCAUUCGGAAAAGGCCUCUAUUGGAUUGGCGAUCAAGAAGACUUGCUAUAAAUACAGAGGCAGUGGCAACAUGAAAAGUCCUCAUCCAAUUCAACACACAAACUGCCAUGUACAAACUCUUGCUUUACGUGAAACCUUUCAACAACCUUGAGAUUUUAUUUUCUUUUUCCCGCUGACACAUCUUAAAUUUUAAUAAACAGCAUUGUGAAGGCAACCGGUGAACAUCUUCAGUUUGGAUAAACAGCACUGUGCCAUAGAACCAUUCGACCGCGAAGCACCUUCAGUUUGGAUAAACAGCAUUGCUCCGAGACCGACUGGUUACCUAUCCAAGUCUCGGUCAAGAAGGAUUUUCGAGUCCUUAUUGGCAGAUGUCAUCUCAUCAGCCUUCUCGACGAAGUGAGAUGUUACCAAGUUACUACAUUUAGCACCCUGAGAGCCGAAUUUGAUAUUGAACUUCGCAGAACUAGCAGCCCUUCAGGCUCUAGAACCCGAAGGCCGAGACGUGUUCCUUUCUCGGCCACAGUCGUGAGAUUUAGAAGUCAACAACACGCCCAACGCAACAUCAACUCAUUUUACUCACCGGUCGAGCUCGGCCGUCGAGUUGGCACGCCCUACACACAACCGAAGAACGUAGUUAGCUUUUUAAUUGUUCGGCCUGUGCGCCACGUAGGCUUGAUAGUUUUUAGGUUGGAGAAAUUAGGUUCACAUCCUUCUUUUUGCUACUCCAUUGAUUAAAAUCCUAUUCAUUUUCAAUUUUUGAUCAAGGUCAUUGGGUAUUAAUAACAUCAUUAAUCAUUUGAAUAAUAAAAUAUUUUUAUUUUUAAAUAUAUUCCUUUAGUGUUAAAAAUGUUAAAAUUAGUAUAUUUAUGUUUAUGGCUAAAUUUUUUAUCAUAUAUUUUUAUUUUUAGUUUGUACCUCUUUUUAAUUUGUACCCAAUUUUCUUUUCAUUUUUAAUUUGUACCCAUAUAUUAGUUUCUUUAUGUGCCCAUAUUUUUUUAAAGUUUUAUUUGUAUUUGUACCCAUGUCUAUAACGUCACGUGACAUUGUAUAUUUAAUCAAUUAUAGAAAAACUACAUAUGGUAUAUUUAUGUUUUAUGCCUAAACUUUGUAUCAUAUAUUUAUAUUUUUAGUUUGUACCCACUUUUAAUUUGCAACAUUUUUUUAAAUUUGUAGUAUUUUCUUUUUAGUUUUAUUUUGUACCCAUGUAUUAAUUUCUUUUAGUGCCUAUAUUAUUUAAAAAUUCAUUUGUACUCGUAAUUUUUUAAUCUUUUAUAUGUACCCUAAUUUAUUUAUAAUGUACCCAUUCUUCUUUAUUAAUGUACCACUUUGUUAUAUGUGAAAUGUACCAAUUUUUUUAACAUUAUGGAUACAUUCUUUUGCCAUUUAUUAUUUCUUAUUUUUACAUAGUUUUUAUCCAUUUAUUCAAGGGAGUUUUAACGAAAAGCCCACGGUACUGUUCACUUUAACGAAAAACCACAUUUUUACACUAAAAAGUCAAACCUGCUACUAUUCACUUUAGCCUUUAUUUUGUCCUUAUCGUUAAAACUCAAAGUUUUUAAGCCCUUUUCAUUAAUUUUCCUUUUAUUUUCAAUCAAAAUGUUUGAAUUUUUUUAUUGUAACUGUUUCUAAUAGUAUUAUAAUGAGGGAUUUUAAAUUUAUAGGAUUAUAAAUCUCAUAAAAUAUCAAACAAUUAAUGUCAAAACUAUAAAAAUAUAAAUAUUAAUUGUAAUAUAAUGAGGUGUACAAAAUCAAAGGACUUUGAUCAAACUUUGAAUACCAUUAUGGUUUUAGUCAAAGAAUAUUAAGGAUUAGAGACUACAUCCAAAGUAUCCCUUUUAGGUUCAAUAAUGCCUUAAAUAUUUUUUAAGGAAAACUAAUAAAAAAGGCUUGAAAACUUUGAGUUUUAAUGAUAAGGACAAAAUAAAGGGUAAAGUGAAUAGUACCAGGAUUGACUUUUUAGUGUAAAAAUAUGAUUUUUCGUUAAAGUGAACAGUACCAAAUGCUUUUCGUUAAAGUUCCCUAUUUUUUAUUUGACUAAUAUUUUACAAAAUUAAUCAAUGAAAAGCAACUUCAAAAAUACACGAUUCAAAUCGUUAAAAUUUAAUGUGGUGCCCUUCCCUUAAAAUGACGUGGUGAUUUAGAUAGACACUAGAAAUUAGGCUCGUGCGUUGCCACAGGAACCAACUUUUUCAGACGUAAUCGAAUGAAUAAAUUCAACACAAUUAUGAACAAACAAAGGGAUACAUAAGUGAAUGAAAUCGAUAAAAUAAGCAAUUUUGCUUUUAUAUACAUUCAAGUGAGUUGACAUAUAAACACAUUGUACAAUGAGUGGGAAGAAACUGAACGUCUUUGAUUAGAAAGAGAUGGUUUCAAAAAAAGUUCUGUUUCCUUAAGAAACAAAAGAAACAUUUAGUUCACAUAUAUAAUGUGUCAUGCAGUGUAGACGGCCAUUUCAACAGAUAAUUAAAAAUAGAGAGUGUUGAGGACUUGUUCAAGUAGUUAAUUUUGUAACCACAACUUUUCAAAGGCAAAAAUAAGCAGAAGGUUUGUUUCCAUACCAAACUGAAGAAACAGAUGCAAGCUACAGUUUACACAUAUUUUGCCCCUGCAGUUAAGACAGCAAAAUAUAUGCCCUGCAAUCUACGUACCUCACUUGUGCAACAUAUGCCUUACACUGGAAAAACAUCAAAAAUUGAAUACAAAUUUGUAAAUCAUGGACAGAUUUUGUUUUACAUUUUUAUAAUCAAAUCAAACGGCAAUGUAGCACGUAAAAUUACAAACUUGAAGCAACCAGAGAGCAAAAAUUAAGAUGUAGAGAUAUCCUCAAACUUGCAACAUAUUGUAUGGAAGCUAACCGUAGAGGUUUGUGAAGCAAACUGCGGCAUGAGUUGCAGUCAAUUGAACAAAAAUAUAGUAGUUCAACUAAAAAAUGCAUAUAAACACAUUUAAGUUAAAUAAAUUCAACACAAUUAUGAAAGGAUACAUGAGUGAAUGAGAUCGAUAAGAUAAGCAGUUUUGCUUUUAUAUACAUUCAAGUGAGCUAGCAUACAAACACAUUGUACAAUGAGUGGGAAGAAACUGAACGUCUUUGAUUAGAAAUAUAUGGUUUCCAAAAUAGUUUUGUUUCCUUAAAAAACAGAAGAAACAUGUAGUUCACACAAAUGUGUCCUGUAGUGUAGGCAACCAUUUCAAUAGGUAAUGCCAAGAAAAGGAAUUAAAAUAUUAGGCAUAUAAAUGCAAGCUUACAGAAACUUUGUUUUUGUACACUUUCUUCUCCCUUGAAUGACAGUUUGUUUCUUAUCUAGAAAAAUAAAAUGAGCAGGUCAAUGAUACUCACAUGUGCAAAAUGCUAAUCCUAUGGUCUAAAGCUAACUGAGUUUUUAAAUGUAAAAUCUCUAAUUUCACUGCAUUUGGAUUGAUCACAGUUCGUGACUUGUUAAACUUGAUAUCUCCUUGUACAUUUUGGGAACUUGACGGCUUAAAGAAGUGCUCAUAAAAGCAAAUUACACAAUAUCUACUAAAAAACUUAGAGAAGGGACUCAAUUAGUCAACAACCAGGUGCCUCACACUUAAAUAUUAAAGACCAAAGGGAGAAAACGAAGCCAAACUCUUAAAAAUUCGUUGGCACACAUGCUUCAUUGGCUCAAUUGAAUGUAUAAUACAAUAAUUCGAACAAUAGCUCAGAAACAGUGCUAAAAUUCCAUUAGCACUAAUCACACACUGUUGGAACAGAGAUCCUAGCAAAGCUACACCAAUUAAAUGACAGACUAAAAACCACAAACAGGAAAAAAGGAAAAACAGAGUUAUCAGACAGCAUGAUUCAAAUAUAAUUUUAUUAGGGUUUGUAAAAGCACAACUCAUCCAGCACUUCGAACACACCGUGGGAUUUAAAGACCAUAGAGUAACAUGUUGGAUUCAUCAUUUUUUGAGAAGAGACAAACCUUUCAUUUAAGCUAACACAAAUUACAUAUCAAAGGAUAAGGAGUACGCUCUAAGAACAGACGGAAAUAAAACAAACACAUAACAGACAUAACUAUCAUACCAAGAAGCCCCCAGACACUUACUAUUGGCUUUGAUAUCAGUUUUACAAUCUGCCUUUGAUAUCAAUUCCACAAUUGGGAAUUGAUAUCAAUCUUAAACCCCACAGGCUAUUCAUGUUUGAGAAGGCAUCAGACAUGCCCGUCAAAAUCAUUACCAAGCUUAGAUACUUUCAGAGUACGUGAAGUGGGGUCACUUACAUUCUGUAUCAAAAAACCUGACAGACGCCAAUGAAAUUUUAAUAGCGGAAUUGAACCUAAUUCAUUAACUGUGGUUCGUGCAUGGUCAUGAUGAUAUGAGGUGAAUCGCUCUCUAAAAUCAGAUCUCGAAGAACCCUAACAGAAGCCAACACCUUGGAUGAAUGAAUCACAUUUAAGUUGAAUAAAUUCAACACAAUGCAUAAAUUGCCUUAAGAUCUGCUAAACUGAAGUAACAAAAUGACAAAACUAUACAAAUUACAGACCAGAAACAAAGCUAUAGCUGACUGACCUUAUGCCAAAUCCCUCGAGCUCUUUUUCAAUUAGACGCUUGUGAGUUAUUGGCUUUAUUGCAUCAUGAACAAUUAAAAUGCAAUUGCAUGUCCUAGCAGUGCUGAUAACCAAAAUAUUGUUAGGACAACAAACGGUAUCAAAGUUUUCAUCUGAAGCUAUUUUGACUUUAUGCACACUGAGAUGAAGAACCAAUAUAUAUUAAUUAUACCUUUGGGAUAUUUGGGUGGUCAAGCUUAUGCCAAACAUCAACCUCUUGCUGAAACGACGCCCGAAGAGCAGCAGUUUCGGCUAUCCUCCCCCCAAUCCAAUAUCUUUAAUUUUUCACUAUAAUAUCAAGAAUACAUAAAGCCAUGAGAACAAUAUUGAUAAGAAAAAUACAGGAUAACCUACGGUUAGGGGUUCAUUAUUCAAUCAAAUAACACCGUUUUCUUACACUCAAUAAAAAAAUUUAUGUAUUUCUAAAUUUGUACAUGCAGUCACAUGUAUUCUUUUUCUCCAAUGAAAUAAACCCCCCCCCCCCGGAGUCUAAUAACGAUGAAAGUGAUUGACCCCAAGAACCCCAAACAUGCCAGUCCUAAGAACACAAAGCAUAUAAACAGUUAACCACACACUUAAGCACAUUUGCGUCUGCACAGUGGCCAUUUAUUAGGUCAUAAUACACAUGAGUAAACCCUAAAACACAAAAAUCAAAGUUACAAACUUUCAAUACAAACCAAUCGAGAAUGAAUUUAUACCACACAUUCUGGCAUAAAAGAAAAGAAAAAUCAAUACUAAUAUUUGACUGCAAGCAGAUCUUGUGGGACUACUACAAAUAAUAUAAACCAGUAGAUUUCCGUAAUAAAAUAUAACCACAGAUGAAUGAAGGGCUAUUAACUUAAUAUUUAGAAAUAACCGUCAGUCCCUAGCUAUUAUGCAUGCCACUAAUGAAAGGAGGGAUCACCAUUUAUUAAGGUACCUGGAAUUCACCAAUACCAGGAUAUUUCCAACCAUGCUGUUCAGGAUAAGAAGGAUAUUGUAGCUCUCCACACGGACCUAAUCCAACUUCAAUUUCUGAUAUUAUUCCUUCCUCAAAAAACUCAUCAAAUUCAACUCUGAAGCUCCUCAAGUGGUCGAAGUAAACCUGCAUUGGUUCCAUUAUAAUAUAACAAAAUAGAAACUCUCAGCAUUAAACAAUAAGAAUGCAUAGGGUCUGAUUCUUAGAGCAUACAAAUUCUUAGAAAUAUAGAACAUAUAAGUUGGAAUAGGUUUAGCAAUAGUUUCUUUUAAAACAUGAGUGGAACAUGUAAAAAAAGACAAAUAUAGGAAAGGAGAUAUGACAAUCCAUAGAAAUAAAAGACCAACAUAACUAAGUAAUUCUAGAAUACUAUACCUCAACAGCAGUGCGGCCUCUUAAAACCCGCUCUUUAUCAAUUCCCCAAGUGAGACAUUCAGUGUUGCGUUUCCCUUCUUUAUUAGUAAAAUAUAUAUAUCAGGAUUCUUUUGGCCCAUUUCUGUCACCCAGUGAGAAAGAGGGAUAAGUACAUCAUCCCCGACAUCGCCUCCACACUCGUGGAAUGACAUCACGACCUAAACCAAUAUACAGCAAGACAAUGCACACCAUAUCCAACAUGCAUAUUCAAAGAAAAUAUGUAGCGCAGAAAAUCUCUCUUUUUUGAAAUGAGUUUUAACUGAGUCUCACAAACUAAUUUACAAAAAAGAAAGCUAUCAGUGGGUUACUUUUCAGCAAUCUACUCAAGACUAUUUUUCCCCUUACCUAAGACAACAGUCAGAAUAAACUUAAUUUAUAUACAAUGCAAGCCAAAAGAAGCAACAAUUGGUAUUCAACCUCACUUCCAGAAAAUUACUCAAAAGACAAUGAGAUAAAGAGUUUCAAAAAUAUGAUGCAUAUUUCAAUCGAGCCUCAUUAACAACAGAAAAUACAGCAGCACAAAGCAUAACAGAAACUUGGAAAUGGAAAAGGAACCUGCAAUUAGGCUUCUUCAGAAGCAAAAAUGGCAUUAUGGAACCCAGAAUAAGAGAGAAUCACACAGAGAGAGAGAGAGAGUGGAGUGAGCCGGUCUGAGCAAAAAUAAAGAUACUGAGCUUUAGAAAGUAGGAAAGGAUGUUGUUACCAUCCACUAAUUGUAUUGUUCCAUUCAGUAAAGCAACCAAUGCAGUUCUAGGCUCAUAGUUCCUAUUCACAUUAACCCAAGAAAAUUGAGCUUCAAACUGAAAUUUAAAAUCAACAUUGACCCAAAAUACAACUUCAAAUCAAAUUUAAAAUUUAUAUUGGCCCAAGAAAUAAAAUUUGUUCCGCUUUAAACUCAGAAAUUCGAAACCAACCCAUCACCUAGAAAAGUACCAAACAGCAAAAGAAAAGGAGGAGAAAGGAAGACACCACAUUUUGCAACCCUUUGAGUUUUUGAAGUCUAAAUCUUUCCUCUUCUGCUUCUUCAAUGCUUAAAAUUUUCACUCACUGACUAUUGUCUGCCAUUCUUCUUUACUCGGCUUUAAAAAUAAUUUCCAUAGAAUAAAUAAGCAACAAUUUUCUAUGAAUAAAAAGAAGUGGUAAGAAUUCUCCCUCAGAAAAUUAAAAAAAAAAAAAAGAAUGCUCACAAUUUUGUCUAGCAAAUACUCCAGCUUUGUAUCUUCCUAACAUAGGAUUUAUUUUUUUCCUGUAAGAAAGAUUAUUCUCUUGUUGCCCGUUGGAAUAUAAGGGAAUGUAUAUUAUUUUCACAUUUGAAAAUAACUCAAGUUUCUUACAAUAAAAAGUAAAAUUGUUUGCAGUGUGUCUUUGAGUACUAACAAUGCGAACCCCAAGUGACAAUGCAAUUUCCCGUUCUAAAGCGAAGGAAAAAGAAACGAAAAAUUGAAGAAACCAGCCUUUUUGUUCAGUGUGAUGGCUGACAAUUUAUCUAAUGGGAAUAUGAAUAAUUGUGUUACUCGAUACAAAGUGCAAAUAAAAAUUGAAGAAAGCACUUGAAGAUGAAAUGAAGUGUGGGUAAAAAAAAAACAAAUGAAAAUUGAAAUUGAGAUAUAUGAACAAUGAAAAUUGAAAUUGAGAUAUAUGAACAUUCAUUCUUAGAGAUGGAAGGGGAGAGAACAAAAGAUACUAAUCAGCAUAUUGCCAACAUAUAUCUCAGAAACCACCAGAUUAGUUGUAAGGUAGAUUGUUAAAGCUGUUUGAGAAACUUUCGUCUACAAUAUUAUGAAGGAAUGCAAACUAAGUAAUUGGUAGCUGAACGAAAUUUUGGCAAGGAUUUACAAAGUAACUCUAUGAAAUUCAUCAAUAAAUCAUCUAUACAGACGCACAUGUUCCCAGUCACAAUGAUUAAAAUCUAAAACAUUUAUUCAUGCAUUCGUGCAAGGGAAAGAAUGGACUCAGCCUGGUUUCUAUCAAGUGUCAACAAAAGAACACAAUUCAAGUUGCACAAAGCCAAAUUAAAUGCAUAAGUGACAUAAAAAUUGAACAUACCGCAUGAUAGUCCUCAAUCUUCAUCAACCGUGAAUCAUGAAUUAUGGAUAUUAUUCAGACCACGAAUGUGUAAACCCUCCAAUUACGGUUGGUAAUCGGGUUCAAAAUAAUGUUUGUAGAAGUGUGCUGAUUCCUUGAAUAAAAAGCAGAGUCUGCACUAUUCUCACUUUGUCACCCUAAUCAAUUAGGUCAAAUAAGGAGCACAUUCAUCAUCCAUAUCAGUCCAUAUAAAAUACGCAAACAUUAAAAAAAAAAUUCAAUCUUGACCAUUUUUGCUAUGCGAAACUGACGCUUAAUUCUUUUUUAAGAAAUUAGCAUAAUAGUACACAAAAUUUACUUGAAUUUAGUCUCCAAUUGAACAAAGGCCACAACGAUAUAAGAAUUGAAUGAAAGUGGUAUACAAAAUCAACUCACAUCAUCACCACCCAUCAAAGGAACACGGAAUGUGGGGAUCAUCACAGCAGUUCCCAAGGCCAAAAUGUAGUGCUGGAAACCCAAAGCAAUUGUUUCCCCUGUUUUCAAAACAAAAAAUGAGAACCAAAUUGGGGAAAUUUUAAAACCCAACAAAAAAGUCGAGAUUUGGGUUUGAGAAAAGAUGAAUAAUAAAUGAGAAAAGGUGAAAAAUAAACAUACCCUAAGAGGGAUUUGAGUCAAUGCCUUACCCUAAGCCUUGGAGUUGGUCCAUUGCUGGAUGGCUUAUCUCUUCUGGUUUUGGAGCUGCCAUGGCUUCUGCCCAAUUCAAAACCCUUAAUCUGCCUCUAAAUCCAAAAGGGUUUUUACCAAAUGAAUCAAAGAACACUGAUUUGAGAGAGAAAUUCUCCCUGGGUUUUGUUCAAUGAAUACAAAAAUGGAAGUUAUUUUUACCAAUUUAGAGAGAGAUUAGAGUCUAUGACAAUGAAAAGCACAAAAGAGAAAAAGCUAAUGGAUCAUGGAGGUAAAAGAGGACUGAUGACCACACAACCCUCUCUCUUUCUGUCCCUCGAAUUGCACUCUCCCUGUCACCGCGGCCCAUUCCCUCAGAACCCUACCCCCAAAGUCCUGCUCAACCCUCUAGUACGAAUUGGACCUUUGCUCCACCCGAAAAAUAUUUAAAAUGUUCUUAAAUGACUACUUUCAACUAAAAGAGUAGAACCAAAUCAAAACCAACAACUUUCAACUAAAUUGCACAAAAGAGUCAAAAUUUAAUUGCUAUACAGAACUAUCGGUUCAAUCGAAAACAAUCAGAAUUCGAGACCCUACCUCCUCCAUUCUCUGAGAGCGAAGCCCUCCUCAGGCAGCAUCUCCGACGGCGCUGGCAAAAUGGGAUCGUCGGACCCGCCAAACCCUCCAUCAAAACCCUGACCGUUCGAUUCGGGCCUCAAGUAUCCCUACUGGUCGAAGCAGUAGCAGAAGAAGAAGAUGAGGAGGAAGACGAUGGACGUUCAUAAUCGAAGAGUUCGAAGGGAUUUACCUUUGGAUUCUUCGGCUUUCAGAUGGAGUUUGCUUGUGUGUGGGCCUGCAACUUCGUUUGCAGGCGUGAUGUUUCCAUGGAAUUUCUCUCGGGUUUACAUAGACAACAAAGCGAGAGAGAAAGCUUUUGCAGAAGGGGAAUUGUGUUUUGUCGAGGUUUUGAGUUGUAGGUAGAGCUAACGAAGGGAGAUGAGAGAGAGAAGUGGAGCGGCUAGGGUUUGAGUAUGGAAGAGAUGAAAAAUGGAGAGAGCACCUGUUUUGGCUGAAGCACGGCUCACCGAACGAAGAAUAAAGAGGCGGUGGCAAUUUUGUAAAUAACUCUCAAUUCACUGUUCAUUUCUACAGUGCCAUUUCCCAUGCUUUCUUUAGACUAAAGUAAUUGUCAAUUUGCCAUGCCAAAUAUUAGAAAAGUAGAGUGUGGACACGGGAAGAAAACCCAGCUUAGAUAUGGGACCCACAUGCACAUGCAAAUGCAAAUGCAGUUGUCAUCAAUCUCAAUAAUUUUCAACAAACCUUUAUGUUUUGAUUCAAACAGUUUCCCACUUUCGUGCUUUUUGCUUGGUGGGCAAGGAGCAGUUUUUUCUCUUUACUUUAUGAGUUUAACUGCCCAUUAUUAUUAUUAUUAUUAUUAUUUCGAAAAUUAAAAUUGGUUUCAGAAUUUUCUUUUCAAUUUUUGGUUUUCAAAUGAAUCUUAUAAUGUUUAUACGGUCAAAAUACAUUAACGUGUGCAUGAACAAGGAGGAGCACGUCUAAAUCGAGAAAAAAUCUAAAUUUUUGUAUGUGGUUCAAUAUUUUAAUGAAUAGAGUAUUAGGUUUUUACCUAUGCGUUCCGUGUUCAAAACUCUCCAAUUUUCUAAAUUAUUGUAAUAAUUUCGAACAUCCCUUAAUAAUAUGGUACAAAUUUAUAGCUACCGUAAUGUUCCAAUCAAACAAACAAUGACAUGUUUACAUUUUUCAAUACGUGACAUUAUAUAGUUAAAUUGAUCACGGUGCUACGCGGAAGAGGAUCCUCUCUGGAUCCAUUUUGUGGGGAUCCUAGGGAUCCCUACAUCAUAAUCGUUCAUCGUACAUUAUGUGAUCAGUUUUCGUCAAGUACUAUUUGUGUUUUAAUUUUAAAUAGAAAAAAGUCAAAUGAUUUUUAACCGCAUAAUACACGAUGAAUGAAAGAUAUGAAGAUCCGUAAGAUCCCUACAAUUUGGAUUUAGAUAGAAUUCAAAUCCGUGCUACAUGACAACAAAACCAUUAUAUAUAAAUUGCUCUCUAAAAUUAACUCGACAUCGUCCUUUUUUAAGUCAGGUAUAGCACACAAUUAGCCCCUGGAUUUGAAAAUACAACUGGAUCACCGCCAUUUAUACGAUUUAAUGGAACGCUAGUCCGAGUUGGACGGGGCCCAUUUCCUUCCUAAUAAAACAGCCAAGUUGAUGUUGGACUGUUGGAUUGGUGAUAGUGAUGAGCUUUCAGCGCGCUGUUUAACUUUAACGCUGCAUGAUCCAUCACACGACGGACAAUAUAUGUGCCAGAUACAACGUUGCACCUUUUAACCUUUCUACCCAGUAUCCACCUAAUUAUCUCAGCCUCCAUUUAAUGUCAAUUUAAUAUCUACAAUCUUUUGCUAAUAGUUGGGGGGUUUUCUUAACUAAGUUAUCUGCGACUCUAUAAUGUGUACAAAACUGUGCAGGAUUAACCACAAUCGUACAAUGAUGACUGAACUCUGAGAAAUAUUCCCAAAUGGACCACACUUAGGUGAUUCUGGACAAAUCUAUGUGUGAUUGUCACACUGUCAAAUAAUUUUAAUCAGAUUUAAAAAAGAUUUCGUGUUGUUGAACCAAAGUUGUAAGAGACUAGAGGAAGUCAGUCCUCGCUAAGGGAAGGAAAGGUUGAUAUUGGUGUCACGCUCGACCUUGUCGAGGGGGAUGAAGGUGCGGUCGAUUCAAUACUCGAAUUAACCAAAGAGUGAUAUUGUCUACACACCUUCUUUUAAGUAUCACACACUCUUUGUUAAUUUAUGUCAUAUGAUCAUCUUUAAUUCAUUCGAUUCGAUGACAAAAAAUUAAGAGUUGUGUGUGAAAGGUAAAAAGAGGUUAGCAACACUCUUAACUAGAGGUGGCAAAUCAACACGUUGGGUUGUUAAUGGGUACUCAUUAAGACUCAUUUAGUUUGAUUUCACCUUACACCAUUAUCACCAUUACAAACCCCACCUUUAUAUUAUGAUGAUAUCAAAUUAAACGAGUCUUAACGGGCACUCAUUAACAACUCAAUGUGUUGAUCUCCACCUUUACCCUUAACCAAAUAAUGACGAAAGUUUGACAUUUCAUAUCGUCUUCUCUCAUAAGCCUGAUAGUCAUAAAAUAGGAAUAAGGAUCAUCUCCGGAUCCUCUUUGGGAGGAUCCCGAUGAUCCGUGUAUCGUGUCUAUUUAUUGUACAUCAUGCAGUCAGAAAUCAUUUUAAAUUUUAUUAUUUAAAAUUGAACACAAACAGUAUUUGACAAAAACUAAUCACACGAGGUACGAUGAACGGACACGAUUCACGGAUUCCUGGAAUCCCCACAAAGAGGAUCCAGAUUCAUAAAAUAUGGUAUAGAGUUAGACCAAAAGCGACAUAAUUACACCACAUGGCAAUGUGACAUUCAAACCAAAAAAUACUCAUUACUCUCAAGUUUAAAGAACACUUAGCUACACUCAAUAUGUACCGUGAUAUGGAUAAUGUUAUUAACACCUAGUUUUACUUUCUACAUACCUGGUUAAGUUUUGGCUAUUGAUUUUUUUUUUUCAAUUCAUUCGAUGAGAUAACCAAAAAUUAAGAAGAGUGUGUAAAAACUAAAAAUAAGUAUGUGAAUAGCACUACCAUGUGACAAUCCUGAAAUUGAACCUUUUCACAUUGCAAUGCAUAAUCUUUUUUAUGCAGUUAGAUAACUUUAGGGUUUAGGUGUGAUUAAUUGAACUAUAACAUGAAGUGAUAAUAAAUUACUUUCCCACUUAACUCGUCAAUUAUAUAACUAAUUUAAUACUUUACUUAAUUACAAGUGAUGUCUACACUACUAGGUUCGGUCCACGUAUGAUUGACUUUAUACAAUGUCACAGUCAUAGUGGUAUUGAAGAAAUCUGAAUCUGGCGGGAUCUUCUUUAUCAGAUUCUCGGAGAUUCGUGAAUUAUAUUCGUUCAUCGUAUAUCGUGCGGUUAGAAAUUAUUUUAAAUAUUUUUAUUUAAAAUUAAAUACAAACAGUACUUGAUAAUUGAUCACAUAAUAUACGAUAAACGUACACGAUUUACAUAUCUCUAAAAUUCUCGCACCAUCUGGAGAGGACCCAGUUGGGUAUUCAAGGGCAGAAAAGUCGUCCUCCUCACUCACCUCCAUAAGAUAGGGGCAUUUCCGUCAUUCCAUGUGCCUUGAUCCGAAGUUCAACCCAAAAUUUAAGUGGGCCGUCGAUUACUCCUAAGCACGAUUCCCGUGAUUGACGGUGGAUAGAGUGCCGCGUGGUCACUCCCCCCCGGUAAAUCCAUCUCUUCUGCUACGAGACCUCACUCUCUAUUUCUCUCUCUCUCUCUCUCUCUCUCUGUCUUCCUCCUCCUCCGAGCUUCCAAAAAGCUCAUUUCUUCCUUCGAGCCACCGCCCGCCAGUUGAAGCAGUUGCAGAAGCAGCAGCAGCCGCAGAGAGAAGCUAAGCAUGGCGGCAUUCCUCAUUGUCCUCCUCACAUCUCUACUAGCUCUCACCACUCUCCCCGCCGCCGAAUCCCGACUCUACACCAACUACUACCAAAAAUCGUGCCCGAGAUUCGCCCAAAUCGUCCAAGACACCGUCACCAAUAAGCAGAUCAUGAAUCCCACCACCGCCGCCGCCACUCCCCGCCUCUUCUUCCACGACUGCCUCGCCAACGGCUGCGACGCCUCCAUCCUCCUCUCCUCCACCCCCUUCAACAAGGCGAAGGAGAAGCUCGGCGUGUUAGGGAUUCAGACCGGAAGGCGGGGAGAGAUUAGGCACAGGUGUCGAUAUCAACCUCUCAUAGAACAGAGAAGCAGGAACUACUCGCUGUGCACCAGAUCAUAAAUUGGUCCAUCCCUAGUAUGCGUUUUAACUCUUCCCUAUUAGGUUAAUAUUUAUACUUCCAUUAUUUAAGCGAAUGGUCUCUUGUUCCGGCUUACUUCCACAUUUCUCGGUUUUGCUCCCACAUUUCUUGGAUUCCUGGGAUCGUAGAGAUCGUAACCAUUAUUCAUACAUCCGUUUUCGUUAAUUACUAUUUAUAUUUAAUUUUAAAUUUUAAAUUUUAAAAUAAUUUUUAAUAUAUGAUGAACGGUUACGAUCGUGCGGGAUCGCUACGAUCCUUUUCCACAUCUCUUGGAUACUAGUUGAAAACACACUUAUUUACUCAAGUAAGGUGAAAAGGUUGUCAAGUAUCAUACUUGAUGGUAUAUACUUACAGCUGUCCGACGUGAGAAUUCCGUUAAUCUUUGUAAGUCCUUUCUCUUUUCUUUUUGGAAAAUAUUUAUCGGAUUGUUGGAGAAAUUUACUGAUAUACAUUGCCCAGUCUUUUUGAUAAUUUUACUGCUCAUCAGAACAAUCUUUUCUAGCAAACCCUACUGACAGUUUUUAUCGUUAUUAGGUCCGGAAUACAGGAAGCCGGAUGGAAAUUGGUAACAGCAUCAGCCACUUCGGAAUCAUGAGUGCUCAAGUUGUCUUUGUGCUUUUGCUCUUUGCUCUCACGAACAUAUAUACGAAAGAUAUCGACAUUGGUUCAGUUGACCGCUCCUCUCGGAAAGCAAUGUAGGUCGUGUUAAAUUGGGACUUUGGGCAUCAAAAUAAGUCACCAGUGUUCAGGAAAAGCGAGCAUUAACGCCGCUAAGGCGCACCUCUUGCGGUCUUCUGCAGUUUUUUGCCCUUUAUUCCUGCAACUGCUGAUUGCUCGUACAAAGUUCGAUUGAAAUUUAAUGAGAGUCAGAGCAAUGGGAUUUUCCAAGUGUUCCCCAAAGAUCGCACAACGUUCGAUUGAAAUUUUGGCACUCUCCGCACGUCUUGAUUAGUUGAUACGAUUUAACGAGUUAUCCCGUUUAGAUAUUCAUUGAUCAAUUUUGUAACUAAAUUUAACAGUACAAACUCCUUUUUUGGCUGUCUGAAAUAUUUGAUUGAUCAAUUAAAUGUUACUAUCUUCCAUCUGGAAACAAUAAAAGUCGGCCCUCUAUUGGGAGAAAUUUUUGGCCGCGAACGACCAUACCACAUGGCUGUCUAAAAGCAUUUUUAACCGGAGUCCCAUCAUUAUUUUUGAAGACUCAUUUACGAACUUAAAGGGAAUAUGCUUGUUCCUAAAAGAAAAUUAGUUCCAAUGAGAGUGUCUUAUAAUAUAAUCAUUAAAUUUAGGGACUACAAGUUAAAAAAUCAUUGUUAAUUUCAUAGCGGUUGAUCUAAAUGGUAAAAAAACAAAAUAAAACCCCAAAAAUACUUUCAUACCUCUUGUUUUCUGAGCAACAGACGAGAAAAGUAACGCCAUCUGCCCCAUUGGAAGCUGGUAUUCUAGAAUCCCAUCACGUGCUGGGAACUUCACCUGAAGAAAGUAGGGAUUCUAACAUAAAACUAAGAAUAAUGCUAUCUACAUACACAUCCCUACGCAAUCCUUAAUUGUAAGGUAAUUUUUGGGAUCUCCGGACAGUCCCCUAUAUUAUAGGGACUGGAGUUCCAAUCCACUGAAAGUCACCAAGUUCUUAACUUUAAAACAUACGGUGGUACGAACCAAGUAUAAGGACAAAUAUUGGAGAUGCUCUAAUUCAACGAACAAAACGCCCAUUCUUGCCGAUGGUCCCACCCUUCGCCCCUUGCUUGCGUGCGAGCGUCCGAACUCAAGGAUUGCCCCUUGUAUUUGUGCGCGCGUGCGAGCCCUCAGAUUCACUCGUUAUAUUCCUUUGUAAAUUUCUUUGCAUCCUUCCGUGAACGUUCAGUUGUUAAAAUCAGCAAUGUAUUAACCUCCUCCGAAUAUUCGUUGCAGGGAGCAAGAGGGAAUAAAUAAUGCAAGUGGGAAUAAUUAACCUGAAUUUCAGGAAGCCGAGGAAAAGCACCGAGGCAAAGGUCUAGGGCCCUCCCUUUUCCUCCGAGAAACUUUCAGGAACAAGUUGCGUUGACGACGACCUAGACUUUGCUGUGCAUCGUCGACUUGGUGGGAAGUUUCGUCGUGGGGCCUUUUGAUUGGUGAGACAAAGAAGUCCAUAGUAUUAAUAAUAACAAUAGGAUUGAUUCGUAUUCUAUAUAAAGAGAGACAUUGAUCACAUUCUGGUAUCCUCUUCUCUCCAUCUACUGUGUGUUUUAAGCAGAUCGGCAAAAGCUUGAAGAUGAACGACCAGUAAGUCAACUUCGACUUCAAACUCCUCCGAUCCUUGUUUUUCUUUGAAUCCUUUGCCAUGAUUUUUCUUGUGUUGUCUUGAUUAAGCGAAAAAUGGUCUGGAAUGGCUAAAAGUGUGUUUUUCAACUAUCAAAAGUUCUUGCGGUUAAAUCUGGCAAAAAAAACUUGCAAAACGCUUUUAGAUAGACGGUAUAAGCUCUUUUCGGAGAAGCAUGUGCUAUGUCCGCCUUCUACAAGCACUUCUAUAUUUUCAAGUGCUUUUUCGAAUGGCACUUGAGUAUUUAAUAAACAUUUCCAUAUGUUCAUGGUAAAAGAUAAGUGCUUAUGAGUAAAGUGAAUCUUACGAAAUACAAUAGCAUAAUAAUCGUCCUUAAAGUUUACCAAAGUGCAAUUUCAUUCUUACAAGUAUUUUGCUAAAGUGGCUUUGUUAGAAAUAGGUAGCAUUAUUCACGUACUUAUUUUUACUAACAAGAGAGGAUCCUUGCUGUGAGGAUCCUAGUCGGAUCCUCUUUGUGAGGAUAUGGAAAUCCUCCAAUCACAUUUGUUUAUCGUAUAUCGUGCGAUCGGUUUUUGUAAGAUAUUGUUUAUAUUCAAUUUUAAAUAAAAAUAAAUUAUAAUGAUUUCUGACCGCACGAUGUACGAUGAACAUAUAUGAUUGGAGGAUCCGCCCAGGAUCCUCUUGAGACCUACACCUCUUAAUUUUAGGGUCGGUAGAUCAAAUGAAGUGAGGAAGAUCAAUGAACAAUAAUUAACAAGGGUGUGUAAGAGGUGAAUAUGGAUUGGGGAAUAACACUUUGCUAGAAAUAUGAUGAAAUUUCUAUAGAAAACUAGCUUGUUUGAAACAUUUUUAAACCAAUUCUUAGUAAAAAUGCAAGUAAAGUUUAGAAAAGUACUUGCAGUGCUUCCUUGCAAAAAGCAAAUAGUUUUUUUAAGGAAACACUUCAAAUGUUUCUUUAUAAGUGCUUUUGAAAUCUAAAAAUAUUGUCACUAAAAAACGCUUUUAAUUAUUUUAAAAGUACUUUUAAACAUGUAAUUAAAAAUACUUUUGGUGAUUAGACUGACAUUUUCAGCUAUUUCAACAGAAGUUUCAAGCAUGUUUGCUAUUAUAGUUGGAUGCUAUUUGCUUACACCCUCCAUUUAACUUUGCUUCAAUUUUUUGUUGGUGAUCAUGACAGAAUUAGCACUGCUGGGCUUGAACUAGCAAAUGAGCUGGUGACUUCUCCUCCCCUUCACCAGUCAUGGGACGCGGUUCUUGAUCAGAUGCAAAAGCUCCCCCCAGCAGCUGAUCCGAACCAAAAAAUGGCCUUAGACAUUAGUGAAACCAAGCACUCAAACACCACCAUCAUAUCUUUUCUUACUUCACCAGUCACACUUCACGAUCAACAAACGAUGGUUUCGUCGUUGACUCUCAAGAACGCAGAUUUUUCUCUCUUUGAGUUUUUGUGCGGCAAAAACAUCCCAAGUUUCUCCGUCAAUGAAUUGGCAAUCAACUUCUUCAAAUUGAACCUCACAAACCUCGAUAUUUGGCGAAAAAAGGUGCAUAUUAUUGUCUCUCUGAUAACUGAUAAUGUUUAACCAUUUUGACGACUUUUAAUGUUAGUAAGAAACAGUUAAAAAUCAUAUUUAUAUUGCUAGAUUACUUUUCACUUAAUUAGUUUGGAUUCUUUGACAAACUGUUAAUGUUAACGAAAAACUCUUACAAAACCGAGUUUAAGUGUUUUUUCUUUUACUAUGAAAGAAGUUUGAGGAACUUAUUUGUAAAGACUUCUCCAAAUUGAUUAUAUAGAAAUUCAGUAAUUGACUAACUUUUAUGUAAUAUUUCAGCUGGUAGAAAUGUUAGAAAGCAGCAAAUCCUCACGGAUAGUUAUCACUGGACAUUCUUUUGGAGGUGCUGUGGCUACCCUUUUCACCUUAUGGCUGCUACAAAGCCUUGACUUGUUGAAAGCGAAACGCCUCCUUUGCAUCACUUUCGGUUCACCCUUGAUCGGUGACGAACAACUCCGACAAUGUGUGUUGGAAUUCUCAACAUGGAGUUUCUUGCUUCUUGAAUGUAGCCUCCAUCAAUGAUCCUGUACCUAAAGUCUUCCUAACUUCGCAAGGGAGUGGUUAUAAGCCUUUCGGAACAUUCCUACUGUGCUCCUCUUCGGGUGGUUCUUGCAUUGAGGACGCUGAUGCCAUUUUGCAACUAUUGGUGGAAACCAGCUCUCAGUGUGUUCAAAAUCCAGUUCCGAAUUCAGGGACUCAGUUGUUUGAUUACGGAAAGAUUUUGAAUGAUCUCAAGACUAAGGCAUUGUCUAGAGAUGUCUUUGAGUUGGUUGAAGAGGAUAGAGUUCCACUUAAAGCUGGAAUUAAAACACAGUUGGCAGCAAUAUUAGGAGUUCUCAGCUCACAGGUAUCAAACUUUCAACACAAAUAUCUGAUUUGAUGAUGAUUUAGGGAAAUGGUUUCCACACAAACCUGUUUAUUUCCAUCUUUUGAUUCUCCUUUGAUUUAUUUAAUCCAAAGACUAGAAAUAAACACAGGUGUGCAAGGGGAGAAUAUGAGUCUGCGGAAAUCACAUCCCAUGUUUACUUCUAGCUACUAACUUUUCUCUCAACUCCUUUUGUAAAAGUCAUUGCAGCAGCAACAAACCAACAUAGAAUUCGAAAGUCUGAUAAAAAAGAUGGUCACUCACGAACGUAAACUAGCGAUCCAGAAGACGAAGGUUUACAGUUCUUUUUUGAAAUUGAAUGAGAUUAAAAAGUACAUGGCCAACAUUGAAUGGUACAAGAAGGAGUCCAAAGACAUGGGAAUUGGAUACUAUGACAAGUACAGAAACAAGCGUUACACGAGUGACAUUACUGCCGAAGAGUACAAGAAGAAGCUCUUUAAUUAUUGGCAUGACAUGGUUAUGGAAGCUGCGAACAAGCCCCAGACAGAAGGAACCGCAAUGCGUGUCCGUUUUCUUUUUGCUGGAACGAAUUACAGAAGGAUGAUCGAACCGCUUCACAUUGCUGAGUACUACAAGGAAGGUGGAAAAAAUUACGUAGGGGAAAGGCCUCCACAUUUCGUUCUUUUGGAGCAAUGGUUCAAGGAAGACGAGAAAAAGAAGAAGGAAAAGAGAGAGAGGGAAGAAAGGGAGAACCCGCAACUGCGCAGCGCAAGCAAGUCCAACUCAAAAGCAAAGAGUGUGGUUUCUAGUCUGAAUGAUGAUUCUUGUUUUUGGGUGCACGUCGAGGAAGCGCUUAUCUUGUGCGACGAACUAGCAAGUAAUCCAGAUGCCAAGCAAAAGCUGAUCGAAUUUGAGCAUUACGUGCUGGAUACACUCGAGAAUUUCGCAGUGACACCUGAUAUUUUCUUGGCGCAGAGCAGCUUCAUGCAAUGGUGGAACAAGUAUAAAGGGAUUGUGGGAAGUAGCUACUCCUCAAAACUCACGGACGUCAUGAGGCGUCGCACUUAUCUCAAGUAUGCGGAUGGGGUCUCGGUUCUUGCUGGUCUAUAAGCCAAGAUAAUUGAGUUUUAAGCAAGCAAUUAAAUCAGAUAAAGCAAGAUUAGUUUUGCUGUAUCGCUCAUGAUCUUCAUGGAGAAAGACGGGCUGUACUUGCCGGACUUCUUGGUGCUACUGCAUUUGAAUGUUUUUGCUACUACAUGGAGAAAGACCAGCUUUCUUGUGAGACAAAUAAUGUGUGGGGGUAUUGUUUCAACUAUAACGUUGUAAUUUCCGCUUCAUAAAAGUAACGACGCUCGUUGUAUUUUGAUUUUCCCAAGUGUGAGUGCUACCUAAUCAGUAUUUGUAAUAAAUUGAGACUUACAUUUGUUGUAGUUUGCGUUGUAUUAAUCUUCAUAUGAACUUAUAAAGUACACAAGCUUAAUCUAGUAAAUACAUAUUUUAGCCAAGUGACUAAGCGUGGAACUGGAAUUCAAAGCUAAUGUAGAAAUACUUACGUAUCCCAUAGUGUUAUACCUUCUGAAUUCUGAUGCUUUUUUCACAUAGCACGCAACGUGUGAUUAAGAAACAAAAUGGUAUACACCUCGAGAUAGGUAAGUCCAUCUCUUAGUAAAUUAGUUUGAUGUAAUGUAGUCAUGUGACGCGUAAGAAACGAAGAAAUGAGCGUACAGCUUGGGACACAUUACAUAUAUAUUUUACAACUACAUGUAUGUAUGCUCUGGAUGAGGCAGACCCUAAGGGAGGGAUCUCCAUUUUUUUCAAAAAAUAUGAAUUAGUUUUGGAACCUACUCCAUAUCGAACUUUAACGAUCUUAAUCGUCUAUUUUGUAAAUCUCAAUUCAUAGAUCAUUCUUGCAAAAAUUCAAUUAGUCCGAAACCAUUUGCCUAUUUAAUUAUUAGAUUAAAAUU